rnacentral:lncRNA from 1 species
AGAGGCUGCGGCGCGUGGCCUGAGGCGGAGAGCCGGGCUGCGGGGGUCCGGGCCAGGCCAGGCGCCGGCCUGACCCGCCUCGCCGGCAAGAGCAGGCCGGGCUUCCUCCUCCCUUGGCGGGCGGGGGAGGGAAAGGGGGAUCCUGGCCGGGGGUAAGGGGGAAAGGUGGUCCUGAUUCUCCCUGUGCCACCGCCACAAAGCUGAUCCUGGCCUCCUGCGGAGAAGCCUGAGCGCCUUCCCGCAGACCUGACGCGACCCCCUCCCAGGUACCUGGGCCUCGGCCUGGUCUAGCGAGUCCCCUUCCUCCCAAGGAGCAGCCGGCGGAGCUCGGGUGGAGGAAAGCGAGGAGGCGACCAGGAGGAUGCCGCCGCCGCCGCCGCAGGGCCCGGGGCUUCUGCAGGGCGCAAGGCCUCCCUCACCAGGGUAAGGGGCUGGCGAUCAACCUGGACGCCUGGGACCUUGGGAGCAAGCAUCCCGCAGCCGAGCAGGCGACGGCGCGGCCACCGCCUAGAGAGGAGCCGGGGCCCGGGGCGGCGUGCGGGUCGGCAGCAGCCGGCUUGGCCUAUCCGAAACCCCAGGCCUGGAAGCGGCUGCUUUAGGCGUCAAGUUGAGCGGGGUAUGUGUGUCCUCUUGGGAAAAAGGUGAGAAAUGGAGCCGGACUUUCUCCACUCGGUAGGGGUUAAGCUACCACACACACCCCCAAACACAUGCCCACGUGCAAGUCCCUCCCACCCGCCCUCCCAGGGGCGAAGAGACCCUGUCCCAGUGGAAGUGGGGAAACCCAGUCGGGUACAGAAAGCAGAGGCCAUGGCGCAGAGCGGAGGCGCGGCUUUCUGGGGCUCAGCCCUAGGGCUACAGACCCAGGGCGCGGAGAUGCUCGCGGCCGGGCCACCCACCAGAGCCAGGCAACCGGCGCUUCCAGGCGAGCUCCGCGGGGCCGAGGUGCCGGGAGAAGCGGCCCCGGGCGCCCGCGCGCUGCCCGACCUGGGUAACAGGCAAAGCGGAGCCCCGGGGUCGAAGUCCUAAAGUUACUAAUCCCGCGGAGGGGGAGAGAGCGUGCCUCGGGCCGCCCGGGGCGGUCAUUUGAGCGUGUUUACUUAAAGACUUUGCAAGCAGAGCGCGCGCGAAAUCGUCGGAUUUCCAGCGAGGCAGCAAAUAUUUGCAGGCAGAAGAAAGAAGCGGAGCCGAGCCGAGCCGCCGAGUCCCUCCCCCCGGAGCCCCGGAGCCCCGGCGCCUGCCUGGGCGGUCCCGGCCGCGCAGACAGAAAAGAAGCCGGGAAUCUGCGGGGCUGGGGGGCGGGGAGCGACACCAAAGGCCAGAAACUGCAGCACGGCCCGAGGCCCUGGCGAGCUGGGCCUGGGGGAGGAGAAGUCCCUUCCCAUUCCAGCUCGAUCAAUCUUGCUGGGCUGCGAUCGGUCAAUAAAAACGGUGUGAAGCGGCCGCUGUCGCUGUGAGUCUGGGGAGGAAGUGGAGGCCAAAGGUGUCGAGGCCGGCGCCAGUACCCCGCACCAGCCGGGUCCGCGGCCCCGCGGUCUGCACGUCGCAGGCCGGGGGCCAGAGCUUUGCCGGCAGCCGAGAGCGGCCCGGCGGGGCCUUUAAUUGGGUGUCUCCAUUUUAAUAGAGGCCAUUGUUGGAGCAAUUAGAGAAAGACAAUAACCGCCCAGAGACGUUUAAUUCGAUUCCCUGCGCCCGCCGCAGUACGCACCGGGGCGCUCUGGAAGAGUGGCCGAGGCUGCGCGGAAGGGAGGGUCCGCUUGGGGAGGCGCCGGCUUCUUUCCUUGCUUGCUUUGCCUUCGGUGUGGGAAUUGUAAAGGGCGACUGGGGCAAGAUGAAAGCGGGGCGAGGGCGACCUGAGCCAGGCCAGGGCCGGCCUCUCUAGCCCACGCCGGGCGCCCGCGGGACCGCCGCGCCUUUCGCGGCGCGCGUCCAGCUGUGGCCGCCGCGGAGGUCCCCAGCGCCUGUUCAAAGGAGAGAAGCCGGAGGACCGGGCCGUGAAAACUGGCCUCCUUCCUCCUUAGCCCCGGGUCCCCAUUUCUGUCACCCGAACCAUGUCCAUAUUUCCUUCCCUAUGGUGGGAGGAGGGGCAAAGGAGAGAUCCCGGGUAUUGGAGCGCGCACACCUCCGUCUCCAACCCAGCCAGCCUCACCGCCCCCUCCUCCGCCUCGGCCCCUGGAUUAGGUUACCCUGGCCGCGCAAGGGUUUCUACUGGAUAGGACUAUAGCACAGGUAAAGCUGUAUAAACAGCUCGCCGGCUGCCGGGCGGGAGGGUUAUGCCGGGGACACGGCUCCAGGCGCCGCCGCUGGCCCCGGCUGCGCGGGCCACACCGCGGGGAGCCCGCUGCGGCAGGGCGCCCCGGACCGCGCAGGUUAAAUACAUAUUAUCUCUGUCUCUGCCACUCGGGCCCCCGUUUUCUUUCCCUUGCGAGCUGAAAUGCGGAGAGCGGGGAGCAAGACCUAAACGGGAAGAAAAGGCAGUCGGGCAGUGGGCAAUACUGGUUGAGGAUCCCGGCCCAGCAAGGCUGGCUCUCUUCAAACAAAACCCAGAGAGCAGGGAACUUGGGGGAAAGCAGAGAAAGAGGGACCCUAAAACUCACUGGCAAUGGGAAGAUGAUGGAGGCGGGUGCGUCCAAGGGGCAACUCUCCUCGCGGCUCCCACGCCCACGCGCCCCGGGCCAGGAGUCUACCUUCCCCGUGAAAUGAGCUAUCGUUUUGGGGAUGGUAUGUGAUUUGAUUUACCCUUUUUUCUUUUCCUUCCUUUAGUUCUUUUUUCUUUUUCUUUUUUCUUUUUUUUUCUGUUUGUUUGUUUGUUUUGCUUAUUCAUCGAUCACCGUUUAAAACUCGGAAGGAAACCCGCCCAGGCCAGGAGAGCCGCGAGCCGUGGGGAGAGUCAAAAAAGAGGAGAUGCGCUGGGAGAUUCCCCCCGCCCCCGCACUCCGCCCCCAGCCCGGCCCCGGCCUCCACUUCGAGGGAUCCUGACCCUCCCACCGCCACUACCACCUUUUCCCCGGUUGAGAAAACCCCUGAUUGUAGCGAGAUAAAAAUUGGGUAGGUAGGGGUGCAGCGGAAAGGGGGAGACAGGAAGGGAGAGGGCAGGGGAUUUCUGCUUUCGGGUUUAACAACUCACACGUGAGGCGAGUGGCAGUUGGGGGGAGCCCCGGGUUGGGUGGGAGAGAAGGAACUCGCCUUGAGGGUGAGUGGAAAGGAAUUGGAGUCACCCUGGAGGAAAAGUGCCCUUUUCAGCUCUCUCCCUCCCUCCUGGCCUUGGCAGGUGGGGGGACAGGUGGGUGCCACGGGAGGAAAAGAAGGGGUGGAGGCAGCCCAGCCGGCGUCCCUGGGUCUCCCGGGCUUUGGACAUCUUACCCUGCCCCCAGUGGCAUCAGUGACUCCUAGCCAGGGGCUUGCUACUUCUAGACCCGACCUCUCCUCCGUCCCAGGGGGCCGCUCAGCCACACCGCUAUAGCACCCAGGACUCCGGCCCCUGCACCAAGGAAAGGCUCCAGCCUGGCAGAAAUUCACCCAUUUCAAGGCUUGGCCCACCAGGCCUUAGCAUUGCCGGGUGAGGUGGGGUGCACGCGGUGUUCAGUCUGGCCAGUCGGAGUCACCUGCUCCACUCCCCCGGCCUGGUCACCCACAUCCUCACAGCCACCCAGCUCCUGAGCCCCCUGGCCAACCACAGCCCCAACCCCCAGCGCUGGCCUCAGCCGAGUCUCCUCCGUCUGCUUCAGUUUGGCCUUUUAGGAGGAGAAGGAGGGCUUUAUCUGGGGACUAUUGUGUUUUGACUCAUCUAGAUUAGCCUAGGAGCUGGAGUGUGAUUGUAGCGGGACACUCUGGCAGGGGAUGUGUUCACAGCACGGAUAGGAAAAGAGGGGGAGGGGGACUCCAUUCAGAUCUUGGAGACAGUAGAGGCGCGCUUUUAAAAGCACAAACCGUUCUUGUCUUCCUUUGGACAUGCUAGAGACCACCUGGUGAAAAAAAAAAUCCAUGUUUGUGCCCGACUCAGAGGUGCAAAGGAGGAGGUUUGGCAUGCGCACCCUUCUCCCGGCCUCCCUUGGUCCCGGACUGCCCCCUACCCGCAGCCCCUCCCUCCGGGCAGCUCAGCUCUAGGCUGCCUUCCACCUCGCGGACCCUAAGCAAUUUGUUAUAUAAAACAAAACAGCAACCAGACGCAUGUGCCUGUUCUUCACUAACGCCAGCAGACCGGCAGCGACGGAUACCCGGUGGACCUCAGCCGGGACGCCUCGGGCAGCAGCUUCUUGCCCGCUGCCGCACCCACCUCUGCACCCCAGCUCGGGUCAGCCCAGCAGCCAAAGCAAAAGGGGGAUUCCUCAGUUUGCUCCCUUGGAGGCUACAAAGCCUCUCUCUGGUUAUUCCAACCGUUAAGUAAAAAAGAGGUGAUGGGAAAGAUUUGGUCUGCACACAAAGAUAUACCAGGAGAAGAAUGCACAUUUAUGUGUAAAAUGGCUUAGGCACCAAGAAUGAGACAUCACUUCAGUGCAGCCUAGAAAUAGUUAAAAAUAACCGAAUGCUAGAGGACAGAGGUGGUUUUGGGAUCUGCCCCACACUCCUUAUCAGGAUCCCUAAUUCCCUGCCACCUCCUAUGGUUCC